rnacentral:rRNA from 1 species
UAUUUUGACUAUACAAAGGUAUUGUAAUAAGAUUUUAAUUGAAUGCUAAAAGAAUGGAAUUUCAGGGAAAAACUGUUUUAAACUUAAAAAUUAAAUUUAUUUUAAUUUGUGAAGAAACAAUUAUUUAAAUUAAGGACAAGAAGACCCUAAGAAUUUUAAAAAUAAUAAUUUUAAUAUUAAAAUUAUUAUUUUUUAGUUGGGGCAACUAAAAAAGAUUAUAAACUUUUUAUUUAAUAAAAUGAUCCAUUAUUAAUGAUAAUUUGAUAAAAAUACUCUAGGGAUAACAGCGUAAUAAUUUUUGAUAGAACAUAUAGACAAAAUAGUUUGCGACCUCGAUGUUGGAUUAGGAUACUUUUUUAAUGAAGAUGUUAAAAAAAGAAGUUUGUUCAACUUUUAAAGUCCU